rnacentral:rRNA from 1 species
UACGGGGGGAGCAAACGUUGUUCGGAAUCACUGGGCGUAAAGGGCGUGUAGGCGGCUGGAUAAGUGGGAUGUUAAAUCCCCCGGCUCAACCGGGGACCUGCAUCUCAUACUGUUCAGCUCGAGCACAUCAGAGGAGACUGGAAUUCCCGGUGUAGCGGUGAAAUGCGUAGAUAUCGGAAGGAACACCAGUGGCGAAAGCGGCUUCCUGGUCCAGCACCGACGUUCAGGCACGAAAGCGUGGGGAGCAAACAGG